UACGAAGGGGGCUAGCGUUGCUCGGAAUCACUGGGCGUAAAGCGUACGCAGGCGGGUCGAUAAGUCCGUUGUGAAAUCCCAGGGCUCAACCCUGGAACUGCAGUGGAGACUGUCGAUCUUGAGUACGGGAGAGGAGAGCGGAAUUCCUGGUGUAGAGGUGAAAUUCGUAGAUAUCAGGAGGAACACCGGUGGCGAAAGCGGCUCUCUGGCCCGAUACUGACGCUCAUGUACGAAAGCGUGGGGAGCAAACAGG
rnacentral:rRNA from 1 species